AUGUUUUGGCGCGCAGCCAUAUUGUGUUCAAGUUGAUAUAAAUGAUAAACCUUGAAUAGUGCUGGUGUUUAUAUUCUUGAACCCACAAACGGACAUUACAAUUGGCGACGAGGAUCGGACAACGUCACAACACAAUAACUAUGGCUGUCUACAGGAAAAUAGAAAAUUAUGAGUUCGAUAUGAACUGGGAUGAAUAUAUCGAAAGGUUAGAACAUUUUUUUACUGCCAACGAAAUCGAGGACGCUGAUAAAAUGAAGUCUAUAUUAUUAACAGUGUGUGGACAUAAAAUGUAUGGACUCAUUCUUAAUUUAACGUCCCCGAACAAGCCAGCAGACAAAACUUACGCAGAGUUGAAAACCUUGAUUGCCCAACAUUUAAAACCAAAACCUCUGGCUAUCGCCGAACGAUUCAGAUUUUAUCAAAGAAACCAGGGGAAACAGGAAACCGUAAGUCAGUACAUCGCGGAACUUAGAAAACUCAGUGAAUUCUGUGAAUUUGGAGAAUUUCUGAACCAGGCAAUGAGGGAUCGUUUAGUGUGUGGCCUUUCAUCGGUGGCUACUCAGCGAAAACUACUGGCAGUGGAUAAGUUAGAUUUAAAGAAGGCAAUGGAUGUAGCAAUUUCAAUGGAACUUGCCGAGAAUGAAGCUCGUAAAUUGAAAGCGGAUGUUCAAGAUGUUCAUGAACCCGAAUCCAUACACAAAGUGACUGUGAGGAAUAAACCAUGCUAUAGAUGCGGGAAGACAAAUCACAUACCAGAUAAGUGUUUUUAUAAAAGCAGUAAAUGUCACACAUGUCAUGAAAUGUGACAUAUACAGAAAAUGUGUUCAAAAAAGGAAACAGUGGAGCCUAAAAAACAAAAGAAGAAGUCAAAAUUGAACUUUGUGUCAGAAAAUCCAGAGUCAGAUCAUUCUGAGGACAACAGUGAGAAUGAACACUGGCCAAUCUUUUCAUUGUCAAGGGAACAAGGAGGAGCCAAGGAGAUAAGGAUAGCUGUAUCACUGGAAGAUGAACAAAUAGAAAUGGACUUAAGAUACAGGUACUUCUGUCUCUGUGAUAUCUGAACAAUUUUAUGAGAAUAAGCUGAAGAGGAAAGUCAAGUUGCAUCCAAGUUCUGCAAUUCUAAAGACAUAUUCAGAUGAGAUAUUGGAAGUGUUGGGUGAAAUAAGUGUGAAUGUGAAGUAUCAAACACAGAAAAAAACAUUACCUGUUAUCGUGGUUAAAGGAAAGGGACCGGCCUUGUUCGGAAGAAAUUGGCUCCAAAGUAUAAAACUGGACUGGCAGUCAAUCCAUAUUUAAUGAAUUGUUCACAAAGCUCAAUGGUGGCCAAAAAUGUUCAAAGCUGGAUUUGUCUCAGGCGUAUAACCAAAUUGUUUUGGACAAAGACUCUCGAAAGUAUGUGACUAUUAACACACACCAAGGACUCUAUCGAUACACUCGCUUACCUUUCGGUAUCGCAUCAGCACCUGCUAUUUUUCAGCGAACGAUGGAUACCAUUCUUCAGGGUCUGAACAAGGUCGGAUACAUACUUGAUGAUAUCCUUGUAACUGGAGCAAAUGACUCUGAACAUAAGCAGAUCUUAGAAGCUACACUCCAACGUCUGGAUAAUUAUGGUGUGAAAUUACAGAAAUCUAAGUGUCAGUUUAUGCAGGACCAAGUAGAAUACUUUGCAUUUAUUGUGAGUAAGGAAGGAAUCAAGCCUUCACCAAAGAAGCUAGCAGCAAUUAAUAACCUGGAGGAUCCCAAGUCACGUAAGGAACUUCAGAUAUGGUUGGGAAUAGUGAAUUACUAUCGAAAAUUUGUCCCAAACAUGUCAACAAUUAGUGGACCACUUACACAUUUAUUGUCUCAAGAUGUUCCAUGGAAGUGGACCCCAGAGUGUUCUGAAGCUUGUGCCAAAAUAAAAGACUUGCUAGUGUCAUCUAAAGUAAUGGCUCACUAUGACCCCCACAAACCAUUGGAGUUAGCUGUUGACGCUUCUGGAUAUGGAUUGGGUGCAGUGAUAUCGCAUUCUGAUGGAUCAAAGGACAAUCCUAUUGCAUACGCUUCCAGAACCUUAACCACUGCAGAAAAGAAUUACUCACAGAUAGAAAAAGAAGCCCUUGCUAUCAUCUUUGGAGUUACCAAAUUUCACGCGUAUCUAUAUGGGCGGAAAUUUACACUCAUUACCGACCAUAAACCGCUAACCACUAUAUUUGGACCCAAGAAAGGCAUUCCAGUCUUAACAGCUUCUCGACUGCAGAGGUGGGCGAUCCAACUGGCAGCUUACCAGUUUGACAUUAAAUAUCGCACUACUGGAAAACAUCAAAACGCAGAUACCCUUUCACGUUUUCCACUUGCAGAGGAGGGAGAGUCAAGGACAGUAUUUGAUAGAGAGACGGAGUUGAUACACAGAAUACAGCUAAAAAACUUACCUGUGACUGCUGAAAAAGUCGCAGCUGCAACAAAGAAUGACAUUGUCUUGUCUCGUGUGGUGGAAUUUACAAAACGUGGUUGGCCAAGCUCACAACCAGACCCAAACUUGUUGCCAUUCUAUCGAAUACGCAAUGAAUUAACUAUUGAAGAUGGAUGUUUACUUCGAGGGAUCAGAGUGGUUAUCCCAGAAAAGUACCGACAAAAUUUAUUGGCGGAGUUACAUGUCUCACAUCCAGGGAUGGUCAGGAUGAAAUCAUUAGCCAGACUUCAUGUAUGGUGGCCCGGUUUGGACUUUGAUAUUGAGACCAAAGUAUCUCGGUGUGACUCCUGUAGGGCUCAAUUACCCAACUUACCUAGAGCUCCAUCCAAUCCGUGGUUAUGGCCAAGUGCACCCUGGAAACGAGUACACAUUGACUACGCUGGACCCUUUAUGCAGUGCAUGUUCCCAAUAGUAGUAGAUGCAUAUUCAAAGUGGAUUGAUGUGGUGAUGAUGACUUCUACUACCUCAGAGAGUACUAUCAAUGCUUUGAGAUACCUGUUUUCUUCAUAUGGGCUACCUGUAGAAAUUAUUUCUGACAAUGGACCCCAAUUUGUGUCCGAGGAAUUUGAAACAUUUUUAAAGGAGAAUGGAAUACGUCACAUUAAGUCUGCACCAUAUCAUCCUGCAUCAAACGGGGAGGCAGAAAGAGCCGUUCGUACUUUUUAACAAGCAAUGAAAAACAUGGCAAGUGAGACGGGAACGUUAAAUCAGAAAUUGGCAGUAUUUUUAUUGUCCUAUCGCACUACUCCGCAUACAACUACCAAUACAACACCAAGUGAGCUGUUCUUCAACAGAAAACUUCGUACAAGACUGGAUGUGGUGAAACCCCAAUUGUCUGACGGUAUCCAUCAGAAAUCACUCCCAGCUGAAAAGAAUACUCGAGAAUUCAAUGUUGGUGAUACUGUCAUGGUGCGUGAUUAUCGCGGAAACAAAGUCUCUUGGAUAAAAGGUACCAUCUCGAGAAGACUGGGACCAGUUACUUACCAUGUGAGUGUUUGUGGUAUGCUGUGGAAACGACAUGUAGAUCAGAUACGUACAUGUGAUGUCAUGUGUGAAUUAAGAGGUUCAGAGCCAGUAAAACCAAGUGUGUUCGACUGCCUGGUUCCCAUAAGUGCACCGUUGAAGAGUGGGGAGGAACCAUUCAACAAUACCGGUGAUGUUCUUAACUCCCAGGAUUCACUGUUAACUGAUCCCUCUACCAGUGAUGACCGCAAACAUAAAAACAUCAGUCCAACACAACCCAGAUAUCCACCUCGUGAACGUCGCAGGCCACAGCGACUAAUCGAACAGUGUUAAACUAUCAAUUCAAGUGUGAUUUACUUUUAAUGUUAAAAUCUUGUUCUAGAUUUACCAAAUUGUAAUGAUUUACAAUUUUAUUGGAAAGGGGAGAAAAGUGUUAUGUUUAUUUCCGGAACUUACUUUUCCGAUAACCAUCGGUUUUCUCUUUUAUACGGUAACUUUCGUUUUCUGUAUGUUUUGGCGCGCAGCCAUAUUGUGUUCAAGUUGAUAUAAAUGAUAAACCUUG
rnacentral:misc_RNA from 1 species